UCCUACGGGAGGCAGCAGUAGGGAAUAUUGGACAAUGGGGGCAACCCUGAUCCAGCAAUGCCGCGUGGGUGAUGAAGGCCUUAGGGUUGUAAAGCUCUUUUACCCGGGAUGAUAAUGACAGUACCGGGAGAAUAAGCUCCGGCUAACUCCGUGCCAGCAGCCGCGGUAAUA
rnacentral:rRNA from 1 species